UACCAAUGAGGCAACACAGAAAUACUAAAUUCAUCUCAGAAGGCACAAAGGGAGACAUCUUAGGUAUUCUCAAAGAACACCAAACGUUCAUUAGAAAAUUGUCUUAGAACUGCUGGUUUCAUCCCUUAUGAUUGUGGGUAGACCCCAAAAUGACUUUUAAUGACCCUACAUGGUUUACCUGGAUGGCUUAUACUAUGAAAAUUUAUUCUUCCUGCAGUUUAGAGGUGUAGAUGGUAAAUUCGACUUGCUUCUAACCUACAGAAAAUGGCAACGGUAAGAUUUUUUCCUGUGAUACAUCAUGUGAACAAAUUUUUCAGAAGAUCAUCUCUGGAGAUUUUUCUCCCCUGUUGACUGUGCAAUAGUUAAGAAGCAGCAUAUCAAGGAGCUGAGGUAAGCUGGCAUGGCCAGGGCCUUUCUGCAGUAAGCAACAAGAAGCUCUCUAUCUCUCUUAGAUUUACAGCUACAAGAAAUGACUCCUACCGACAACCUGAGUUAAUUUGGAGGCAGAGUCCUCCCCAUUCAAGCUGCCAGAUGAGAAUUCCAGCCCUGCCUAACACCUUGACUGGAGCCCGAAGAACUCAAUUGUGCCUCAUCUCCUGAUCUAUAGAAAG